rnacentral:rRNA from 2 species
UUUAUCGGAGAGUUUGAUCCUGGCUCAGGACGAACGCUGGCGGCGUGCCUAAUACAUGCAAGUCGAGCGGACAGAUGGGAGCUUGCUCCCUGAUGUUAGCGGCGGACGGGUGAGUAACACGUGGGUAACCUGCCUGUAAGACUGGGAUAACUCCGGGAAACCGGGGCUAAUACCGGAUGGUUGUUUGAACCGCAUGGUUCAGACAUAAAAGGUGGCUUCGGCUACCACUUACAGAUGGACCCGCGGCGCAUUAGCUAGUUGGUGAGGUAACGGCUCACCAAGGCGACGAUGCGUAGCCGACCUGAGAGGGUGAUCGGCCACACUGGGACUGAGACACGGCCCAGACUCCUACGGGAGGCAGCAGUAGGGAAUCUUCCGCAAUGGACGAAAGUCUGACGGAGCAACGCCGCGUGAGUGAUGAAGGUUUUCGGAUCGUAAAGCUCUGUUGUUAGGGAAGAACAAGUGCCGUUCAAAUAGGGCGGCACCUUGACGGUACCUAACCAGAAAGCCACGGCUAACUA